AGAGUUUGAUCAUGGCUCAGGACGAACGCUGGCGGCGUGCUUAACACAUGCAAGUCAAACGGAGAUAUACCUUCGGGUAUAUUUUAGUGGCGGACGGGUGAGUAACGCGUGAGCAACCUGCCUUACAGAGGGGGAUAACACAGAGAAAUCUGUGCUAAUACCGCAUAACAUAUUUAAGAGGCAUCUCUUGAAUAUCAAAGGAGCAAUCCGCUGAAAGAUGGGCUCGCGUCCGAUUAGGUAGUUGGUGAGGUAACGGCUCACCAAGCCCGCGAUCGGUAGCCGGACUGAGAGGUUGGCCGGCCACAUUGGGACUGAGACACGGCCCAGACUCCUACGGGAGGCAGCAGUGGGGAAUAUUGCACAAUGGGGGAAACCCUGAUGCAGCAACGCCGCGUGAGGGAUGACGGCCUUCGGGUUGUAAACCUCUUUCAGUAGGGAAGAAGCGAAAGUGACGGUACCUGCAGAAGAAGCGCCGGCUAACUACGUGCCAGCAGCCGCGGUAAUACGUAGGGCGCAAGCGUUAUCCGGAAUUAUUGGGCGUAAAGAGCUCGUAGGCGGUUUGUCGCGUCUGCCGUGAAAGUCCGGGGCUCAACUCCGGAUCUGCGGUGGGUACGGGCAGACUAGAGUGAUGUAGGGGAGACUGGAAUUCCUGGUGUAGCGGUGAAAUGCGCAGAUAUCAGGAGGAACACCGAUGGCGAAGGCAGGUCUCUGGGCAUUAACUGACGCUGAGGAGCGAAAGCAUGGGGAGCGAACAGGAUUAGAUACCCUGGUAGUCC
rnacentral:rRNA from 1 species